CUAUAUUGGGCCUUAUGUGUAUUUUAUUUAUAUAUUUUUCCUUGGGCUGAAAUUUAAGCCCAUAACAUUUUAUAAAAUCAAGGCAAUACGUGUUUUUCUUCCUUAGCCAAGAUAUGUAUUAAAUUUUAACCACAAAUUCUAAGCUUAUUUCCAUCAGCCACGUGAUCUGAUUUAUGCUACAGCCACGUUUCAUCUCAAACUUUCUUGAGCUGCAAGCACCAUUUCAAGCCUUCUUAUUUAAAACAUCAGCCUUUAUCACCUCUGUUUUCCACCGCCUCAAUUUUUCCAAUGUUAAAUUCUUUCAUUUUCUGAAAAUAACUCAAAAACCCAGCAAUCAACUUCUUGUUUCUGCUGCUUUCGAUUCAAGUGGUGCGGCGCGACUAGGAACGUGAACUUUAAAUUCUCGCAGUCAAUUUCAAAGUUCAAGUUACAGGUAACUAAGGUUGGAGACGCGUGGAGGAUCGAAUGGGCGCGUCACGUAUAUAUAUAUUUUGAAAAAUAUGAUGGCGUAGUUACAUCUAGCCUUUUGCUUUGUAUGGUUUCAAAGUCUAAAACUACUUUUGAGUUUUGAUAUAACUUAUCAUAUUAGCUUUUCCUCCAUGGCUGGCCUUCUUUUAAAGUUAUUUCAAAUAUUUUAUUUAGGAAUUUAUUUCUUUGAAUUUCUUUAUAA